rnacentral:lncRNA from 1 species
UCAAUCAGAACAAACAAACAAUAACCAUAGUCAACCAAAUCAAUAACAAAAAAAUUCAAACUUGAAUCAAACAAUCCUCAGUUCAUACGUUGAUGAACAUUCAAAAUCAAAAACGGUACAAAAAAUACUUUUAAGAUUUCAUCAAGCCUUAAAACUAAGAAGAUUUUUGUACUUAUAUUCAAAAUUGGUUUAUGAAUUUUUUUUGUCCCCUCAAAAUUUAAAUCUUCUAUUAAUCUGCUCUUUUGAAUUUAUUAAUUUGCAUAUCUGUCAUGUCCCUAUACUUAUAUAAAAAAAAUCCAACAGAAACAGUUGCCCAUACUGCCAGUUAUAUGUAUCCGCCUACCAAGUACAACUUUCAUUUCCUACAAACAAGCUAGUAUCACAUCAUAGUAGCUGAUUUUAACAUCAUGUAUGCCCUGUUUGAAUCUUUUGCAACCAUCCUCACAUUAACCCAUAAUAUUAACAUAAUAACUUGGAUAUUACUUGGUGCCUUGGGGUACUUUAGAUAGCUAUUCCGAUUCAAAGCAAAGGAAACUUCCUAAGGUGGAAGGGCUUUAAAAAGGGGUAAGGAGUAGUCAAAAAGCAUAACAAAGUACAAAUAAAAUUGCACUUGAUUUUCAAUACACUUGUUUCAUUUGAAGAAGAAAACAAUAUAAGAGCUUGUGACCGUUGGGGGAGAACGGGGAAGUCCAGGUGUUGCAUGUGCGACCACAAAGCCCUCAUACACACGUUUGAAACUCAACUUGACCCAAAAUUUUAAGCUCAGAUGGGGGAGUCUAACUCACUUGUGUAUCCCCAACAAUGACCAAAAGAGGCUUAGUCAGCAAUCUAUACUUUAGACUUGAUAUCAUCCAUCGUGUACAAAAGACUAUCGACCCUUGAGUCCUAUACUUUAGACUUGAUAUGUGGCAAAUUGGGGCCUAGGGGUGUUGUGAUCCGAGAAGCAAACCAUGAUUAUCAACCCCUAAGGAGAUCUGGUUCUUCUUCGGCGUCUGGCUGAAGUAGGAGAACUUCUAUGAGAAAAAUAAGAUAUGGGUGAGACGAGAACCACGGCGUUCUGAUUAAGCCGUCUUUAGCUCGCGUUAAAUCAGCAAGCUUCUUUCCGAGCUCUUCUUGCUGGAGUUGAAUAACUUUCCUUUUAUCCCCGACUUCCUGGAGACAACGCUGCUUGUUAACAUCUGUUGGUUGACGUGAUUGCGAAUGUGUCUCACCAUGGGAAUGGCUUUGGUGACCCGUGACCGGGUGGAGAUGACAGUGUCACUAUGGAAUUUGUAUGCGAGAGAGGGGUUUAAAAAGAAUUCCACUAAGGUCCUCCUUUUAGUUAAGGUUUGAAUUUGU